rnacentral:rRNA from 1 species
AUUGAACGCUGGCGGCAUGCCUUACACAUGCAAGUCGAACGGCAGCACGGGAGCAAUCCUGGUGGCGAGUGGCGAACGGGUGAGUAAUGUAUCGGAACGUGCCUUGUCGUGGGGGAUAACGUAGCGAAAGCUACGCUAAUACCGCAUACCAUCUAAGGAUGAAAGCGGGGGAUCGCAAGACCUCGCGCGACAAGAGUGGCCGAUAUCAGAUUAGGUUGUUGGUGGGGUAAAGGCCUACCAAGCCGACGAUCUGUAGCUGGUCUGAGAGGACGACCAGCCACACUGGGACUGAGACACGGCCCAGACUCCUACGGGAGGCAGCAGUGGGGAAUUUUGGACAAUGGGCGAAAGCCUGAUCCAGCAAUGCCGCGUGAGUGAAGAAGGCC